rnacentral:rRNA from 1 species
GGCCCAGAUCGUUUACCGUGAAAAAUUAGAGUGUUCAAAGCAGGCAGAUUCAAUUUUCUGCCACCGAAUACAUUAGCAUGGGAUAAUGGAAUAGGACCCUGUCCUCCUCUUUUCAGUUGGUUAAAUUUACGUGUGAGGAUCAGGGUAAUGAUUAAUAGGGAUAGUUGGGGGCAUUAAUAUUUAAUUGUCAGAGGUGAAAUUCUUGGAUUUAUGAAAGAUUAACUUCUGCGAAAGCAUCUGCCAAGGAUGUUUUCAUUAAUCAAGAACGAAAGUUAGGGGAUCGAAGACGAUCAGAUACCGUCGUAGUCUUAACCAUAAACGGUGCCGACCAGCGAUUAGGAGACGUUGAAUACAAAACACCACCAUGUAUAAUUCAAUAUAUGGCACCUUCACGGGUGUUGUAUGUUGAUUGUAUAUGGCUAUCGGUGAAUGACUCCCCUAGCAGCUUGUGAGA